rnacentral:lncRNA from 1 species
UCGGGAUACUUGUCUGUGUAUUGUCUUUACUUCCAUAAACCGAGGACGAAGAUCCAGAGUCAUCUCCCGUCUGGCUAAGCCCCUCAGAAGCUUGCCACUUCUUAACCGCCUGCGGAAGCGGAAGAUCGUAGUCUAUACCGUAUAGGUCAUCAGGAUCAACCUCAGUGGGCUUCCAUUGGACUGUGAGCGAAGAAAGAACGUUAACGAUGUGAGACAUGUCAGGUCUUUGGUAAGGCUCACGUGCACAGCAAUGACCAGCAAGCUCCCAAACUUUUUCAACGCUGGAUAAGGUGUCCUCGUCGAGCUUGAUGUUUGGGUCUAUCGCGUUUUUGAAGGCGUUUUCGUCUUUCUCUUUGCUUGCAGCUACACGACGGAACCAUGUGACUAGAUGGACGCUGUCCUCAGGUUGCGUCUCAUCAAGAGCUUUACGUCCAGUGAUCAGCUCCAUAAGUAUAACCCCAAGGCUGAAGAUGUCUACUUUGGUCGUCACUCUUCCAGUCACUGCCAUAAUCAAUACCACAAAAACGAUCAAAGCAUGAAACAUGAGACAUUAACAGUUAGGUAGGGAACAAAUUCAAACCUGCAUAUUCUGGAGCAAGGUAACCGAAGGUCCCAGCGACACGAGUCUCGAUGGAGUAUUUGCCUUCAGGGGCUAAACGGACUAACCCAAAGUCAGAGACUUUAGCUCUCAUGUCAUCACCAAGAAGGAUGUUUGAUGGCUUAAGAUCCCUAUGGAUGAAACUCUGAUGAGCAAGCGUGUGUAGAUACUCAACACCCCUAGCUACAUCCAAUGCAAUAGCCAACCUUCUAGUCCAAUCAAGAGGUUUCCUCUCUUCUUCUUUCCAGUGGAAUAAAUGCUGACUCAAUGUUCCCUGCGGCAUAUACUCAUAGACAAGAAGCCUCUCGUUACCAUCAAGGCAGUAACCGAGAAGCGCAACGAGAUGACGGUGACGCAUUUUAGUCAACACAGUUAUCUCUGAUUUGAACUCAGCGAGUCCCUUGUCACUCACAACAGAAGACUCCAUCCUCUUCACAGCUAUUUUCGUUCCAUCGUGGAGUUCACCUUUGUAAACUACACCGAAACCGCCUCUCCCGAGGAUAUUCUCUUCGCUGAAGUUGUUCGUCACACUCCUCAAAACCUGAAUGGAUAUAACCAAGUUACCAGACUCCACUACGUGAAUGUCACUGUUGGCGCUUCCGCUGUGACUGUACGAGCUCUCUGUUCCUCCUCCUCCCCCGUUGUUGAGACUAGAAGCUGCAACAGUGAGUUUAAUUGCAUCGCUAUCACCAGAGUGAUGCGGAUGAAUCACCAUGUUGGUGUUUGGACUCUGAACUUUAGCGGGUCUCCUUCUCUUCUUGGCGUAGAGACAAACACCGAGCCCUACAAGACACAAUGCACCAACAACACCACCAACCACAGGAACAAUGAUCUUGACACUGCUUGACUUCUUAGAACUUUCGUUUCCACCGCCACUGUCACUUCCUCCACCAGACCCUUUACUACCCCCUGAAGUUCCAGGAGUUCCACCACUCGGUGAGACAGGUCCAUCCUUAUCGAUGUUAAGGUUACCAGUAGUCACCACAUUCACACUUUCCCUGAACUUGGGCACACCACCGUAGAAGUCAUUGUUAGACACAUCAAGCGUCCUAAGCUUAGGCAAAGUGGUAAGCUCCUCCGGAAUACUCCCACUAAGUUUAUUAUUAGAAAGAUUGAUAGUUUCCAACGAAUCAAGCUUAGCAAAACUCGGAGAUAUCGAACCGGUAAGCUCCUGCCUCCCUAGAUUAACCACAGUAACAUUACUCCCCGAACAAGUAAUCCCAAGCCAGCUACCACACGGAUCAUUUCCUUUCCAACUCAUAGCCAGCUUCACCGGAUAACCAAACGACUCAGCUAUAGACAGCAAGGUCUCAACACGAGGAUCACACGGAGCACCAGCGGUAUCCAGACAGAAGCUAUUAGUUUUCGCUACCGCAUCAACACUAACAGACUUCUGGAAUAACGGAGUGGGUCCUUGAAAUAAAUUAUUAGUCAAAUUCACGACAGUAAGAGACUUGAGACCAGUAAACGACGGUGGGACAACACCGGUGAGCUGAUUCUCUCUUACAUUGAAGAGCCUCAGAGACUGCAAACCAGAGAGAUCAGGGAUUGGACCUGAAAAGGCGUUGCCUUGGAGAUCAACCUCGACGAGAGACGUCAUGUUCUGCAGCACCGAGAUCGAUCCGUUGAGGUUCUGUCCGUUGAGGUAGAGCUGCUGUAACGACGAACCCGACAAACUCGAAGGCAAACCUCCGUGUAGAUUGUUACGAGACAGCUUCAAAGAAGAGAGGCUCGGGAGAGUCUCGGAACCGAAGAAAUCAGGAAUCGAACCCGUGAGGUUGCAGUUAAUUAAAGAAAGGUUCUUGAGAGAGGUCGCUUCCUUAACGGUCUCCGGAAUCUCCCAAGAAGGGAAAGGGUUGUUGUCUAGAUACACCUCUUGCAAGGAGUUCAUCCCGGAGAAGAGAUUCUUAGGAGUCGAAUCGAAGAGGUUGUCGUGGAGGUUGAGAGUCUGUAGAUGAGUGAGCCCGGAGAGAUCGGGGAUCGGGCCGGAGAUUUUGUUGGAGAAGAACUCGAGGACGACGAGCUCGGAGAGUUUCUGGAGAUCCGGAGGGAGAGUGCCGCGGACGCCUUUCUGCUUGAGCUGGAUCCGAGUGACGCGGCUGCUCCCGUCGCAUUGGACGGUGUCCCAUUCGCAAGGGUUGGGGUUCGACCAGUCCACGUCCGAUGUGAGAUUCAGGCUCGAUUUGAGGGAUUGCAUGAUCGUCGCGUCGUCUUGAGGAGCGGCGAAAUUGAGGAAGGAGAGGAGGAGGAGACAGAGGGAGAGAUGAGAUCUGGUCAUUUUUUUGAGCUUGUGGAGUGUACUGUUGUUAUCUUCUAGGGUUUUACGGUGUCAUUGAAGAAGAAGAAGAAAAGGGGAGAGAGAGAGAGAGACAAAUUGAGAGAUGGAAUCGGCGGAGAUAGAGGAGAGAUAAAGUAGGGAGAUAGAUGAUCAUAAAAGCAUUGCCUUUUUUUCCAAAUUAUUCUUCUGGAGAAAAAUCGAUGAACCAGCAAAUAAAAAUAAUGAAUUAUUAAAGUUUUGUUCCUGGGGACUACUCGAGAGAGAGAGUGUGUGUGUUGUGUGUGGAACAGAGAGAGAGUGUAUAUUAAUAACAAUCGUUGUUUAUUUUUGCCUAUUUAAGUGGUGAAAUGUUAUGAAUACAGCUGUCACGCGGCGUAAUUAAGUGGUAAAAAAGUAUAAAUUCGGCUAGUCAAACAUAUGAGUCUAUGUUUAUAUAUGAUCUAAGAACCAAAUUACUACUCUACAGUUUGAAAUGUUUCUUUUGUAACCUAGAGGAUCAUAUUUUAAUUAAGAAGAUCGAUACGAUUGACUAAUUAAAUGAAUUGGUAACUCUCUGACCAAUUUAAUGCUAAGAAGGGAACAAAAAAUCUACUGAUCAAGAUGAGAAAAAUGAUAUGGUCUUUGAUUUAUUAUUCUCUUCCCUGUAUCUCUAUGAUUGAUUUUUCGGCUUUAUUCGUUACCACUGAUAAUAUUGAUUGUCUUACAUAAUUUGAAUAUUUUCUAUAGAUCUUGGAUUUUUCUUCACAUUAUUUCCAUUUGCUUAUAUAAAAGAAUAUUAUUUCCUUCUAUUAGCUUUCGUGCGACAAACUCCACAAUGCGUGAAAUGUAUCUGUAGACUACUAUUGAAAAGGCAUUCAAUACGGUGGCGGUGGUAUAAACUAUUAAUUACGGUCAAAUCAGCGGAGAAAACCAUCGUAACGUGCUAAAGACAGUUUAGUAUAGAUUAAUUUCUUUAUCCACGAGUCAUGAUUCCGUGACUAGUCGUGGUAUUUCUGUUUGUUUUUAAUCUUUGAACGAAUUAAUUAAGAAAAUAUCUGAAGAUUAAAUAUUAAUGAGUCAUUUGAAUGGUCUUUGAGAAAAAGACAAAAAUAUCACUAAAUCAAGUUUUUGUUCUCAAACUAGCACUCAAGGUCAAAAGUCACAAAAAUAGCACUUAAUGUUUUAUCAAAAGUCACAAACUUAGGAUUUAGAGUUAAAGGGUGGGGUUUAGGAUUUAGGGUUUAGGGUUUAGGGUUUAGGGUUUAGAGUUUCGGGUUUAGGGUUUAGGGUUUAGAGUUUAGGGUUUAGGGUUUAGAGUUGAGAAAUGAGGUUUUGGGGAUAAGAUUUCAAAUUUUGAAAAAUAAAUAAAUUAAAAUUUUCAAAAGAUAAAAUGCUAUUUUGGUCAUUUAGUUUUUGAGUGCUAUUUUUGUGAUAUAAACUUAGAAAUGUGCUAUUUUGGAAAUUUGCCCAUGGUCUUAUCUUCUCACUAAUUAUUGGACAACAAGAUAAAUGCGAUUGGUCCUGACAAAAAGAAACUGUAAAGACAGACGCCGUGAAAUCCGGAGGAUAUUAGCCACACAUUAUCUUGAUAUUCGGCGGAUUGUAUAAACGGUCGUUAUCUUACGCCGUUUACUUUUUAGUUUUUUUUUUGGUUUGACGCCGUUUAACUUUUAUAUGUUCCUUUGGCGAAUUUAUUACUGAAUAGUCAGAAUACUGACCACUUUCACGGUAAUCUAAACUAUUAUAUUCUCAUUGCAUUGAAUGUCUGUUGUAUUGUAUUCGAUACAAAAAUACGUACGGUAUUGAAAUAAUUGAAACCUACUUAUAAUUUAUUAAAAAUAUAGUACGAUUAUAAAAGUUUAUAUAUAGAAGCUCACAUAUAUUACUGUAAAUAGUAGAUUAAGUAGUCGAAGGUAUUGACAAAAAAAAAAGUAGUUGAACAUUAACACCAUCGUAUUAUACGCACCAACCGUAAAUAAUUUAUUUCACAAAAUGGUAGAUCGAAUACCUUUAUUGAUGUCUAAAAAUGGCAAGACUACGUGAGAACAACUAGUUUGCAACGUUUACGUGACGCAUCUGAAGUAACACCUAUUUCACUUCUGUAUCAUUAACCAUUUCAAUGAAUAAUAUAAAUGAUUUGUCAUCUGACGUAAAUAACAACGAUUGUUUUUUGUUCGUUUGUUUAGAAUAAUCUUUAUAGACGCACUGAAGUUUAGAAUUUUUUUUUUUUUUUAAUGUUGUUUUCUCGUGCUUAGAACAUGAUUAAACCGGAGUUCUUAGAGCAUGAUUAUCCGGGGUCUUUAGUGGGUUUCUUAGUGCGUGGGCCCCCACAAAACCUUUAAGGAUCGGUUACAAAAACUACUAAUUAAGAACCGAUCUUAGUGAGUUUCUUACACUGUUCGCGGGCCCCACUGACACGUGGCGCCCCGCGAUUGGUUUGCUUUUUAAUUUUUUUUUUUUUUUAAAAAAAAACUGGGUUUCUUAGGGAUAAUCAUGGCCUUAGAGUGAGGUUCUUAACGAAAGUUAAGAAACUGUUUCUUAACUUUCUUAACUUUUAACUAAAAAAACUAAGAACCGGUUCUUAAAGUCCUUAUUUAAGAACAGUUUAUUAACUUCCGCUAAAAACUUUAUCCUAAGAACCUCGAGUUAAUCAUGCUCUUAGUUCUAAAUCUAGUAAGAUGAGAUUGCAGGCGAAAACAAUGAAGAGAGGCCACAUAUUGUAGUAUCGAUGCAUGAAGCCGACAGAGGCUCGUACCUACACAUGACUUCCUUGUCUUUUGCAAUCACAAUCACAUUCUUCAACAUCAAUAACUUCACAUGUUAAUAAACCAAAGCGUACUUUAGAAACCAGUUUCAGACUCCAUCACUAUAAGUCACAAUCAACUUCUGAUUUACUGCAUUUGAAGAUGAAUUUAUCUUCUUGAAAUAAUACCAUGUGUUACGUCAAACACAAACCAUUAUUCAUCUUAUAGAUAUGCCACAGUCUCGUAAAAAAUCCAAAAGACCCUUCAAGAAACUUGCACUUCUCAAGACACUUGCACUUCUCAAGACACAGCUCGAUCUCAUGAGAUAGAUUUGGCUAACUGAUCAAUUAUUAGCUGCAUACAAACAUAUGUUUUCUUCAACCAACUUAAAUUCUCCAUCCUUUUGCCAACAACAUAACUUCUUGAACUAUAUUCUUGAAAGUACUGAUUCUGAACACGAGAAAGCCACAUGCGAAAUAACCUGAGAGAUACCAAUCAUAAUUAACCAUAACCUUGAGUCUUCACGUCUAGAGGAUCUUACACAUAGCUGUUCCUUUCUUUCGUUGACUUCAUGACUGCUGUCGCCAAUACAAGGUUUCUAACAGCUACUAGAACACAGACUGAUUCACAGUACUAAUUACCGUUUUUAAUCAACUUUCUGUGAGAUUUCUCCAUGGCACAACAAUCUUCUCUAUCACAAGACACUAAACAAGAGUCCUAGCAAAUUUUCUUUCGAGCCUCGGGGCAUAUACUUUCUUCACCUAAACCAAAACUCAGCUUUACCAUGUUUGCUGAGAACCUCUUCAACUUGUUUACAAACACUUCCCAUCUUGCAACCAACCUCUGUUCAAAUGUUCUAUCAACGUCCGAGCAUCAUCAUCUAUGCAGUUCCUGGUGACCCUAAUUAUACAGUCACUGUCCUAUCAAUUUACUGCACGAUCAUCCUUGUCAUGUAACCACCAAUGAUCUCAAGCUUCAUAUCUGCUUCAUCAACAUCACAUGACUCAUUGACUCUUCUCCUCAAAGUUCAUUCAAUGGCUGAGUUUUUAUCAACAUUAUGCCGAUCCCCACCAAUGAUCUUUGCCUGUGUGAGUUGGUGGGAGCGGCACCACGUCUAAGUCUCCCAUGUUAUCAGAUACUCCGGACACAACUGACUUUUGAAAUAUUACAUGAAACUGCAUGGAAUGAGAAGUACAAAACAACACACAUAAGAACCGAACAUUCCUAACUUACACGUUUCAACUUAUAUUACAAGUUCAUGAGUUUUUUUCUAUCAUCCUCAAAGUUUGGGUAAUGUAAAUGUAUAAAGACGUUUGUUGUACCAUCGAAUGAAUGGAAAUUUAUUAUGUCUUUAGAUAAAUAAAAAACAAAAGGAUUCGGUACAAAUCGAACUCCGGUAAGGAUUAAAUAUCAACACUAAACCGUCGUUUCACAAACAAUACUAUUACUGGUCAAAACCUAACUCCCAAAACCUCUGAACCCUAUAUGUACACACAAACCAACCAAGUUGCAUGUUUAUUUUCUAGCACGAUGACUCUUUCUUCUUCAACUUUGGCUACAUGAAGAAUCUGAGAUUGGGUUAGCUUUGAAUGAUUUGGCAACAGACUUGUAGAGAUUCUCUUCUUCAAAUGGUUUAGAGACAUAACCAUCCAUUCCACUUUUCAGACACUCCUCGUAUGUCGCGUGGAUCACAUCAGCGGUCAUGGCUAGAAUCGGUAAAUGCCAUUCCAGCUUCGUCUUCUCUUUAGCUUCCUUCUUCAUCAUCCUUAUCUGACGAGUCGCUCCAAACCUGAGAACAAAACCAAACUUAAAAACGAAUUCAAACCAAGUAUUACCAGACAGAACCUAAUGAGUUUAAAGUGCGGCUGGGAUUUUGAACCAAACCUAACCCUUUUGGUUAGAUUCGGUAGUAUUUUUGAAAAAGAUGUUUGUUUUAAGUUCGGUUCGCGAUCGGUUACUUUCAUAGUUUCGUUUUCUUAAUAAAAAAAAUAUAACAUUUGUUAUAAAUCAUACGAUGGAUGUCCAUAACCGGUCUGGUCCAUAACCGGUCCAAUACCUAGAGAGAGAGAGGCGACCACGCAUGGAGAGAGAGACAGUUUACCUAGUUAGAGAAAAGGAAACCCUAUUUUCUUUUUCUUGUAUUUGUAUACUUUCCAUAUUUAUAUCUUUUCUUUUAUCUCUUUGUAACUCCCAUAUAUAAGGGCACCUUAUGAUUGAUUAAUAAUAACAAGAACUUACAGAUUCUAAAUCCUUAAGUUUACAACACGUUAUCAACACGAAACUCUAAAACACCCUGAGCCAAAAACAAAAUCGAUAAACCCUAAAACCCUAGCCGGCUUGAACCCUAAUCUUCCCGGCGAGAAACCUAAAACCCCGAUCGCGAUACAAACCAUCCCGAUCCCUAACCUGUUCGCGACAGACGAUCAAGACGCGAUCCCGUUCCUGAUUGCUCCAGCUCGUUCGCGACAUCAACCUCAAUCCGUUCGCGACCCGAUAGGAGUCAGCUCGCGUCCCGUUCGUGUUCAGCUCGAGUCCCGUUCGUGUUCAGCUCGCGGUUCAUCCUUCUUGGUGGUCCGGUUUCAACAAACAUCUAGGUUAAAAGGUAAUUCGAAUUCUAAGAACAUAUGAAUCGAAUUUGGAUUGUUUGUAAAUAAUGAAACCAUAAAACCUAAUCUUUAUGAUAAAAGCCAUAAGAUAAUAGAUCAAACCCUAAUGAGUAAAUCGAAGCUCUAAAAUUUCGAUCCCCAAACCCUAAAAUCGAGAUUGAUCUAUUGAUUAAUUAAAAUCAAAAUCCUUGAUGAUUUUGAAUCUCAAAUCAAACCCCUUUGAUCUAAGAUCAAAUCGAAACCCUAAACCCUAAUUUUAAAAUAUCGGUUUUGAUUGUUUGAAUUUGAAAUCUUGAUUGAUUGUUUUAUCACAUAGAAUUGUUGCUAAGAUUGUUUAAACUCGAAUCUGAAUGAAUUGAAAUCGUUUGGCUUGUUUAAACUGAAACCCUAAUUACCUAGUCUAGAUUGUUUUGAUAUCAAAUCUGAAACUGUAUGCUAGGUUAAUUGUUCUAGACUUGAUCAUAUCUCGCGGCCGUGCGGCUUUGUUGCAUUCAUACCAUAACCUAAUCACAUUGAUUGAUUGCAAUUACACUUAGAAUCUUAUGCUAGGAUGGUACUGAAUUAAAAUCAAGUAGUCGUAUGAUUGUUCUUUUGCUUGGCCGAGAGGUUUGUUUGUAUUGAUUGCAUCAUGAACUGAUAGAAAUCAUCUAUGCUAGGAUUGCAAUUACACAACAAACUGAAUGCAUUAAUACUAAAUUGAAUUCAUGGCCGUGCGGCUUGUUUCUUAUCUUUGGCCGUGAGGCAUAUUGAUUGUUUAAACAUUAAUAAUAUUCCUAAAAGACAUAAAAUAAUUAAAUCUAUGAUUUCAGAUGUCGAAAAUCAACAACUUGGAUUUUGCUGCCCUAAAUCUCUCUGGAAAUAAUUACCUUCAAUGAGCGCUUGAUGCUAAGAUCAUCCUGAAAUCCAAUGGUCUCGGUGAAUGUAUCACCGAGGACAAUAAUGCUAGUGAAAAAGAUCUUUACAGAGCCAUCUUGAUCAUUCGCCAUCAUCUAGCUGGGAGUUCAAAGAUCAGUAUCUAACUAUUGAGAAUCCACUAGAUCUUUGGAAUGAAUUGAAAUCGAGAUAUGAUCACCAGAGAACGGUGAUCUUACCUAAGGCUCGGUUUGAUUGGAGGGAUCUCAGAAUCCAGGACUUCAAGUUCGUGGACGAGUACAACUCGGCACUGUUUAAGAUUGUUUCAAAACUGAAACUGUGUGGUGAAAGUAUUACGGAUCAAGAUAUGCUUGAGAAAACCUUUUCCACUUUCCACACAAGUAAUGUGUUGUUACAACAACAGUACCGUGAGAAAGGUUUCAAAACCUAUGCUAAUCUUAUUUCUUGUCUCUUGCUCGCUGAGCAGAACAAUGAAUUAUUGAUGAGAAACAGUGAGAUGAGACCUCCUGGCUCAGCCCCACCACCUGAAGCACACGCCACAGAGGACAAUAAAGAAUCCCAUCACGUCCAAGGAAAUGACCAUCAUGGACGUGGUCGAGAAAAGUGGAACGGACGUGGACGUGGCCGAAGCUCCUUUGGCCGCGGGCGAGGGAAUCAACAUGGCCGAGACCAUGGGCGUGACUGUGGCUCAUUUGGAAGAGGUCAUGGUCGCGGCCGUGGAUCUUCAUUCAAACCUCAACACUCGACCAACUCAAGCAAAUCAGUGUGCCAUAGAUGUGGAAUGGGAAAUCAUUGGGCUAAGGAAACAAAUAAUUCCUCUAGAUCAUUGAUCUCGCCCAAGGUCAUAAGAAAGUUUUAGAAUCCAUACCUGCACUAUCUACUAGUCUUUACCAUGCUAAAGUCAGUAUGAUCGAGGCCAAUGCCACUUUUAAUAAAGAGGCAAUCAACAACUUCACUUUAUGGCACGACCGGCUUGGCCAUCUCGGUUCGACCAUGAUGCGUAAACUGAUCCUGAACACUAACGGCGAGGACGAAGAUCCAGAGUCAUCUCCCGUCUGGCUAAGCCCCUCAGAAGCUUGCCACUUCUUAACCGCCUGCGGAAGCGGAAGAUCGUAGUCUAUACCGUAUAGGUCAUCAGGAUCAACCUCAGUGGGCUUCCAUUGGACUGUGAGCGAAGAAAGAACGUUAACGAUGUGAGACAUGUCAGGUCUUUGGUAAGGCUCACGUGCACAGCAAUGACCAGCAAGCUCCCAAACUUUUUCAACGCUGGAUAAGGU